rnacentral:lncRNA from 1 species
GGAAAAAUAGUGAUGCGGAAUCUUUGCAAUCUGCUGAUGAGCUGAAACGCCAGAAGAGAAUCAAAUUGAUCACUAUAUACAUUGGUAUUUUCAUUGUGUUUCAGAUCAUCAUCAUAACCUCGAUGAGUCUCACUGUGAUGAAAGUCAAGACCCCGAAGGUAAGGCUAGGCAACAUCAGUGUCCAAGACCUCAACUCCGUCCAGGCGACACCUUCAUUCGACACAAAAUUAAAAACACAAAUUUUGGUCCAUACAAGUUUGAUGCUGGCAUUGUCACGUUUUUGUACCAAGGCGUGACUGUCGGCAAGUUGCUAUUCCAAAGAGCAAGGCUGGAAUGCUUUCUACCAAAAAAAUUGAUGUUGAAGUGAGCUUGAGUUCAAGUGCACUGAGCAGAUCCAAUCUUGGCAGGGAAUUGAGCAGCCAGGUGUUGACUCUCAACAGUGCGGCUAAGUUCACCGGAAAGGUUGAGCUGCUGUUUAUAAUGAAGAAGAAGUCUUCCACCAUGGAUUGCACCAUUGCUUUUGAUUUGUCUUCAAAGACGCUCAAAAGUUUGCAAUGCAAGUGACUGGACAAGAUAAGUGGCGUGGAGCAAGAGGGUGGAGUUGAACUGCUUCUUUCUGUAACAUCUUUAGCACUCAAACUGCGAGUGAACAAGACUAGUUCUUGAUUUGUUAUACUUUUGUGCAACCCUUGAAUUUGUAUUUUAUAAAAUAUUCAUUGAUUAUUUUUUAACCUUUUAUGCUAGGUUUUCCUUUCUUCCUGUCUUCAAUAUAUGUUGCUUUGUCAAGUUUAAAGCCUUGUAGAUGUGUGUAAUUUUACACGUUUGUUUUACUUUUGACUAUUUCAUGGUUACUGUUUACUUGUUGAAGGUUGCUCUUUUUGUUGGAUGCUCCAACAAUUAAUAGGUCAUUACAGUUAAUCAGGAUUAUUUUGGAACGUAAGUAGUGUCACGUCCUGAUCCUGAAAUACGUCCAAAUACGUCCAAGAUCGACACGUGACGUCAAAAAAUAUUUGUUCAUUGAUCAUGCCUUGCUUACAAGUCAUAAUCAGAAACAACCAAACUAUUCAAUAACAACUUUUUUACUAUAUUUCAUGGUUGCAUCUAACCUCUGUGUUAAACUACCUACACAUCCUAUGACGGGAUGAAACCAUUUGUAAUUCACCAUUUGCUAAACUUUGAUAUUUCUCAUAGUACCUUCUAGCAGAUAAACAGAGUUCCAAAAUCACUCAAUGAAACUCGAGUAGCAUGAAUCACUAGAUUCCAAAAUACAUAGUGAAACUAUAUACCAGCUAGAGGAUUGUCAUUUCGCCAUUCACAUAUAUCACAUAUUUUCCAACACAGUUCCACAAUCACAACAAAUAAAAGAUUUCAUGAAUCCAAGCGGCACAAUAUUAACAAUGAACUACGUUAAUCAACCAACAAAAUCAAAUAUCACUUCCCUAAUUUUUAAUUAAGCCAACCUCAAUAAGGUUUACUGUAUUUCGCUACAGAAAUCCAAUUAUCCAAUCUUUAUAAAAACUGGAAAAUUGUUUGUUUCAAAACCUUGUUUGUUAAGCAUGUUAUUGACUGAAAGUUUUAUUUUUAAAGCUUGCUGAAAGUCAUCACAUGAUCAAUGUUUUGAGAUGUUUUUGGGUGAAGGAAAACAACAAACUCGUCUCAUUGCUUCAAGGACUGCUAAAAUUCAAGGUCUAGUUGAUCACAUUGUGUCAGUAAUCAUAACAAUGAGGUUAUAUCCCCAUAACAAGGGUGUGAGUUACCUUAAUUGGUUUGAUUACUAAUAGCUCAGUGAAAAGUAUGAAUUGCAUGAAGCCUGUGAAAGUUAAUUUCCAAACAAGGGUGGAUGAUUUUUAUGUGUUCAACUCCUUGCUCAUGUAAUUUGAUAUUUUUGUACUGGUACUGAUUAAACUUAAAAACCAAAGGUUAAAGUUGUUUCAGUUAAAAAGUACAUAGGGUCUUGAAUGUUUCUUCCUUUUGUUUGAAAAUUUCAGUUCUGGGUAUCAAGGAUACUUAUGUAAAUGAAACUGUUAGUUAAUACUUAGAAAUGUAAUUCAAUAUUUGAUAUUUGUUAAUCAGGUUAAAUGUGUAAUUAGUUAGUUGGAGUAGCUGAUGGUGACAGUUGUAAAUGAGUUGUAUAUAUACAACUAUCAUGUAACUUUAUUAGGUUGGUAAAUGAAAAGUUAUUCUUUUCUAACAUGGUAUCACUCGCCUCUGUCUAACGACUUGAUCCUCUUUCCUUCGUCCCUACGCUUUCUGCGACUCUUCGUUGCUAAGCUUCCAUUUUCUUGAAGCUUCUUGCAUCCGAAACCCUACUUUCUCCUGCAAUCUUCCAUGGCGACCUCGGCUUCUCCCUCCUCCAACGUUGGUUCUCACGAUCCUCCUCCUCCGAUCGUCGAUUCCAACUCUAAUCUCUCUUUUGCCUCUCAUGCUGCUUCCAUCACGAUUCAGAACAUUGGUUCUUUGGUUCCAAUCAAGCUGACCACGACGAAUUACUUGACCUGGAGUGCCUUGUUCGCUCCCAUUUUCCGUCGGUACAACCUUGCGGGCAUUGUCGAUGGCUCGCUUCCUCCACCGCCUCAAUUUCUCACUGAUGCCGCUGGAUCUCGCACUCUGAAUCCAACAUAUGUUACCUGGUAUGAGAAUGAUCAAAACAUUCUCAUCUGGAUCAACUCUACACUUUCUGAUUCUCUGAUUCCCUACACGGUUGGAGUCAAUUCUUCCAGAGAACUCUGGGCGAAAUUGGAAUCCCGGCUUGCGACUGCUUCUCAAUCGCACAUUCAUGAACUCCGUUCUCGUCUUCGAACCCUAACUAAGGGCGAUUCUUCUGCUGCAUGAUUUCUUAAACAAAUUGAAGAAAUUGCUGAUGCUCUUGCCAGUGUCGGCGCUCCGAUUGAAGAUUCUGAGAUCAUCUCUGUCAUUCUUCAUGGCCUUCCAUCUGAAUAUGACUCGUUUGUUGAUGCGAUUCAGUUUCGCCUUGGUUCCACGACAAUUGAUGAACUUCAUGGCCUUCUUCUCAGUAAGGAGAUUCAAUUAACGAAUCAGAAGAAAACAUCUUCGUCUUCGCCUUUUCAGGCCUUUAAUUCUUCUGCUGGCCUUCUUCCCACGCCUCCCUCUCAAGCUCUUCUGGUGGCUCCAGACUUCAAUUCUCAAGGUCGUGGCUCGGAUCGCAACUCUUCUUCAGCUCGCGGUGCCAUCUCCAAUUCUCGGAAUUUUCAAGGUCGUGGAAAUUUUCGCUCUAACAAUUUUCGCCCCAAUUUCAAUCGCCAAGGCUAUCCAAAGUAUAAUCGUGGUCGCUCAAAUUUCUACUCAUCUGGCAAGAAGGUUCCUUGUCAAAUUUGUCAACAAUUUGGUCAUGAAGCCCUUGCUUGUCCUCACCGCAUGAAUCCCCAAUUUUCUGGUCCUCAUUCUCCCUCUGCUAUGGUUGCCAGUACAAACACUUCUUCUCCAAAUUGGAUUGUGGAUUCUGGCGCUACAUCUCAUAUGACAAACUCGGCUAAUCAUCUCCAAAAUCCGGAACCUUACACAGGCCCUGAGCAAGUUUAUAUUGGCGACGGCAAAGGUUUGCCAAUUCUUCACUCUGGAUCUUCUCAAUUACCUACUUCUCAUUACAAUUUUCAGCUUCGUAAUGUGUUACAUGUCCCUGACUUAAAACACAAUUUGCUUUUUGCAAAUCAAUUUCUCAUUGAUAAUUGGUGUUCUAUGCAUCUUUAUCCAUUUCACUUCACUGUGAAGGAUAUUACUUCGGGGAAGAUGCUUUUUAAAGGACCAGUGCAUCAUGGUUUCUAUCAGUUUCAACCUCUCAACUCUGCCUUGGUGAAUGCUUCUCAUCUUGCCUUUGCUGCUUCAGCAAAUGCAUCCAGGGAUGUUUGGCAUCAACGCUUAGGUCACCCCUCUCCUAAGAUCAUUAAUAAGUUGUCCUAUGCGUCUUGUAUUUCUGUUUCUGGUAAUCCUCAUCUUACAUUCUGUAAUGGUUGUGCAUUAAGCAAGAGCUCUAAACUACCAUUUGUUCCAGUACUGAGUCGGACUAGUAAACCGUUAGAAUUACUUCACACUGAUGUUUGGGGGCCAGCCUCUGUAUCUUCUGUUCAUCAUCACACGUAUUAUGUCAUUUUUGUGGAUGAAUUUACCAAAUUUUGUUGGUUCUUCCCUUUGCAAUACAAAUCUGAUGUUUUUAGCACUUUUGUGAAGUUUAAGGCUCAUGUUGAGAAUAUGUUGUGCCUCAAAAUUCAAACUCUGCGAUCUGAUUCUGGUGGUGAAUAUUUGAGUUCUCAGUUUUCUCAAUUUCUUGUUGAUCAUGGCAUUCAUCAUCAACUCAGUUGUCCUCACACUCCGGAGCAAAAUGGUUGCUCUGAGCGUAAACAUCGACAUAUAGUGGAGACAGCAAGGACAUUGUUGACAGUUUCUCAUGUUCCUCAUCUUUAUUGGGAUUAUGCUUUUGCUACUGCAGUUUAUUUGAUCAAUCGAAUGCCGACUACAUCCAAAGCUUCUCCAUGGGAAUUAUUAUUCAACCGAUCUCCAUCUUAUCACACACUGGAAAUCUUUGGUUGCAGUUGCUUUCCUUGGUUGCAGCCUUAUUCUUCAUCCAAGUUGGAUCCUAAAAGCAAACACUGUGUUUUUCUGGGUUACAGUCUCAAUCACAAGGGGUUCAAAUAUCUUGAUCCUACUUCUCAACGGAUCUAUGUGUCCCGCCAUGUCAUCUUCGAUGAGUCCAGUUUUCCUUUUCACCUGCCAAUCUCUGCCCCUCCAUCUCCACCAUCCAAUCUUCCUCAUCCUCCCUCUAUUCCAACUCAAUUAACCUUUUCUCAACCCAUAAUCCUCCCCAGUCCUUAUUCUCCAGAGCUUUCUCCGGUUUCUUCCCCUCCUACUGUCUCUCCAAUCUCAUUACCUUUCAUCAGUGCCUCUCCAUCCCCUUCCCUUUCCCAUACACCUUCCCAUUCCCAUCUCCCCACCAAUAUCCAUCCUAUGCAGACCCGAGCUAAAUCUGGAAUCUACAAGCCCAAGGCCUUUACUGCAACCAAACAUCCUCUACCCUCUCAUCUUUCUCAUGACUUUGUUCCUACUACAUAUCUUCAGGCCUCUAAAUAUCCCCACUGGCUUAAAGCUAUGCAGGAUGAGUUUCUUGCACUGCAGCAAACUGGAACCUGGACUUUGGUUCCUCCUUCUCCCUCCACCAAUGUUGUCGGCUGCAAGUGGGUUUUCCGAAUCAAAAGGAAACCCGAUGGUACUAUUGACAGAUACAAGGCCCGUCUUGUUGCCAAAGGCUUCCACCAGCAGGCCGGCUUGGAUUAUACAGAGACAUUUAGUCUGGUUGCUAAACCGGUCACAAUUCGGAUUCUCCUCACUUUGGCAGCUCAAUUUGAUUGGUUUCUCAAUCAGCUUGAUGUCAGCAAUGCAUUUUUGCAUGGUACUCUCUCUGAACAGGUGUUUAUGCAACAACCACCAGGUUUUGAAGACUCUAAUCAUCCUCAUCACAUUUGCCAUCUCCGCAAGUCUCUCUAUGGUCUCAAACAAGCUCCUCGAGCUUGGUAUGAAAAACUUCAUGGUGCACUUCUCUCUUUGGGAUUUACUGGUUCUCAAUCCGAUCACUCCUUGUUUGUCAAGACUGAUCCCAUGGUGUUCGUCUUAGUCUAUGUUGAUGACAUUAUUGUCACUGGCCCAUCUCCUUCUGCUUGUCAACAAGUCAUUACUCGGCUUAGCUCUCUGUUUCCUAUCAAGGAUCUCGGUCCACUUCACUAUUUUCUUGGUAUUGAGGUGAAACGGUCAUCUAAGGGUAUUUCCAUCUCCCAAACCAAAUAUAUACUGGACUUGCUUAAGAAAGCUCACAUGGAUGGUGCCAAACCUUGUGCUACUCCUCUGAGUACAUCAAAGCUUGAUCAUUCUUCCCCUUUACUGGACAAUGCUGCUCACUACAGAUCUCUUGUCGGAGCCCUUCAAUACUUAACUUGGACUCGGCCUGAUCUCUCCUUUGCUGUGAAUUUGGUCUGCCAAUAUAUGCAUAGUCCCCGCCAUUCCCAUUUUUAGGCUGUUAAAUGGAUCUUCAGGUAUCUUAAAGGCUCUCUUGAUUUAGGAUUAUGGUUUCCAAAAUGUUCCUCUUCUCCAUCCAUUACUGCCUUCUCUGAUGCCGAUUGGGCAGGUUGUCCUCUUGACCGAAAGUCUACUGGUGGUUUCUGCAUUUUUCUUGGCUCUUCUCUGAUUAGUUGGAGCGCUAAAAAGCAACCUACUGUUGCUCGCUCAUCCACGGAGGCUGAGUAUCGGUCUCUUGCCAAUACUGCUGCUGAACUCACUUGGAUUUGCAAACUUCUAGUGGAUCUUGCUUACCAAUCUCCUUCUAUUCCCCACCUGUGGUGUGAUAAUGUCUCUGCUCUUUCUCUGGUCAAAAAUCCUUUGUUCCAUGCUCGUACCAAGCAUGUUGAGCUUGAUUACCAUUACAUUCGUGAAAAGGUUUUAGCUCGCGAAGUUUCUGUUCACUAUAUUUGCACCCAACAACAGAUUGCAGAUAUUUGUACCAAGGCUCUUGCUAAGGAUCGGUUUCAUUCUCUCCGCAACAAACUCUCCCUUCGAUCUCCUCCGCUCAGUUUGAGGGGGGAUAUUAAGGAUACUUAUGUAAAUGAAACUAUUAGUUAAUACUUAGAAAUGUAAUUCAAUAUUUGAUAUUUGUUAAUCAGGUUAAAUGUGUAAUUAGUUAGUUGGAGUAGCUGAUGGUGACAGUUGUAAAUGAGUUGUAUAUAUACAACUAUCAUGUAACUUUAUUAGGUUGGUAAAUGAAAAGUUAUUCUUUUCUAACACUGGGCUCCCAGAAUUCAAUUCAAUUCAAAAACACUCAAUGGAACCAACUAUAAUAAGUGGAGACAAGACAUUGAAAUAGCCCUAAGACUUAUGGAUUUCGAUUUAGCUUUAUGGGAAAAGGAACCUGCCAAGCCUGCAGAUGAUGCACCUGCUGACAAAAAGAAUGAGUAUGAGACGUGGAUUAAGGCAAAUAGGAAGGCGUUGUUGGUGAUCAAGAGGUCAAUGUCUGACCUUGUUCGAGGAGCCAUCACUGAGUCUGAUAAUGCUAAAGCAUACCAUGAUUCCAUUGAAGUCAAAUUUAAGGAAUCUAAGAAUGGAAUCCUAAUGAACACCCUGAAUACUACUAAGUAAAUUGGUGAUGAUGUAAGAGAACACAUCCUUUCCAUGGUUGAUGUGGUUGCCAAGCUUAAUGCACUACACAUUAAGAUUGAAGAUCCUUUCCUGGUUCACUUUGCCUGAAACUCCCUGCAGUACUCUUAGUUGAAGAGCUUUACAUUGCUCAAAAGGAAAAGUGGGAUUUAAAUGAAGUAAUUGCAAUCUGUGCAUGAGGAGCAAAACAUUCGACAAGAAAGGAACAAGAAGCAAGGGGCUAGUUGAGUGCUUUUGAAAUGUGAAGUUUUUGAACUACCUAAAAUUGCCCUUCUCUAGUUAAGAUUUUAAAGGAAAACAAUUUAAUUUGAAAAGGGUAAAAUAGUAGUUUAACUUCCAUGGUGAUAAUUAAAGAGUCCCCACGUUUUUGGGGUGGUUAUUUUUAUUAGUUUUCUUUCACAUUUUAAAAAUAAAAAAUUUCAAAAAUAAUUUAAAAAUACAUAAGUACAAAAUUAUAAAAUGCCAAUUACACAUUCGUAGUUACUUAGUACUACAAUCUAGUAGUAUUCUUCUUCACUUGUAAGUGAGAGAUCAUAGAUUUUAUUCUCGCCAAAUAUGAAUUAGAACCACAUUAUUAUAGUUAACACAUUGUAAGACUUAGUCCACUUCCCACCAUUUUAGUGUAAAUAAUAUUAUUAUUCAAAAAAAAAAAUUAGCAUACUGAUUUGAAGGUUAAAGAAAUAUCAUAUGUGGUUCCACUUGCAUUCUAAACUUAAUAUGUACCGUCUUUGAUGACAAAUCAAAUGUGAUGGUGCAUCACUAUCAAAAUUCUAAUAAAUCUGGACCGUAGUAACUUAAUAUUACGGUCUGGUGGUAUUCAUAUUCACUUGUAAGCCAGAGGUCUGUUAAGUUCGAUUCUUGCCAAAUAUGAAUUUGAACUAUAUUAUUAUGGCUAGCACUGUGGAGAGAAAGCAAAUUAUGUUAAUUAGUCAAUUAAUGGAUUUAUUACCUAAUUAAUCUAUUAAUGGCUAAUUAGCUACAUAUCCCUAUAAAUAGCUCUCCAUUCUCUCCAAAAACCACUUCCAACUCUCUUACUAAAAUUCUCAAACACUUUCUCUCUAAAUUCUAACUUUGGCAUAAGAGGUUCUUCGGUCAAAGCCCUCCCAUUCAUUGUGAGCACAUGAGGCUUUUGGCAUUAACCAAAGAUGUUAAUUAUUUUGUAAGUGCAAUUUUGUCCAAGAUCAAGGAAGAAGAAAUUUGCAUCCACAAGCACAGUAUGAGGUCCAACUCACUCUCCACCUCAUAAUGUUUGCAAGGGGCUAGUUUGAACAAAAACUCGACACCAGAUGGGCUAGCAUACUAUUUAGGAUUUGUAGGUUAAAGAAAUAUCAUGUGUGGUUGCACUUGCAUUCUAAACUUAAUCUGGACCGCCCUUGAUGACAAAUCAAAUGUGAUGGUGCAUCACUCUCAAAAUUCUAUGAAAUUAUGUGAUGGAUUCAAUUUGAUGAUAAGUAGGCCGGGGCCUCAUUAGGCUUAAAAUUUUGCAAUUACUAAACAUGUAGAGAAAAGCAACUAUUUCUAUAUCCAAUCCUAUAAAAUAACGAAAAAGAAAUAACAGAUCAGGCCCGGGGCCUAAUUGGCUUAAAAUUACAGAGAAAUCUAAUAUAUAGUUCUCCAACAAAAUACAAGAAGUAACAAAGAGAACCAAUUAAAAAAUUAACAAAUCAAGUACAAGUAUUGAUGUCGCAGAUCAUUAAUCACUUGCAUUGCAAACUUUGGAGCGUCUUGGAUGACAAAUCAAACGCCACGGUGCAGUCCAUGGUGGAAGACUUCUUCAUUAUAAGCAUCGAUUCAACUUUUCCCGUCAACUUAGCCGUGCUGUUGAGAGUCAACACCCCGUUGCUCAUUUCACUGCCAAGGUUUGUACCGCUCAAUUCACUUGAACUCAAGCUCACCUCAACAUUGAUUUUUUUGGUGGAAAGCAUUUCAGCCUUGCUCUUGGGAAUAGAAACUUGCCCAACGGUCGCGCCUUGGUACAAAAACGAGACAAUGCCUGCAUCAUACUUGUAUGGACCAAAAUUUGUGUUUUUGACUUUGAUUUGUGUUGUGAAUUUAGUGUUGAAUGAAAGUGUUGCUGGGACAGAGUUGAGGCCAGAGGCGGCACUAAGGGGGAGCGAAAGAUGCAAUUGCAUAGGGCUUCCAAAAUUUUUUGGUAUCUUAUAUUUAUAUGUAAUAAUGUUAUAUAUUAAAAAAAUACUUUUAUUAGCACUUUAAAAUCUUAUAGUGCACUUUUAUAAGUGUAAUUGUUUUUUCUUUCUAAAUAUAAAAAUUUGGAACGCACAAUGAGAUAUUAGGAGUGUUAAUAACAACAUCUUAAAAAACGAUUUUCUUUUCAAUUUUAUUAAUUAUAGAAUAAUGCUAUAUAUUCAAGUAAAACUCUAAAGUUAGAGUUUUUGAAGUUUUUUUUUCUUUAUUUGGUUGCUUAAGAUUGAACUGUUUUUUAUUAUUCAGUGAAGAUUAUGUUUAUAACUCUUUUUACUUAUUUAAUGAUACUUGUAAACUUACAAUCAGUGAGUCCUAAAGGUUGUUUUGAUUGAAGUUAUUAUUUUCUAGUACCAAUAUAUUAUCAUACUUUAAAAAAAUAUAUAUCUUAAAAAGGGGCCAUUUUAUAAAUUUCACACAGGGCCCCGAAAUCUCAAAGACAGCCCUGGUUGAUGCCUUGCACAUUGAUGUUGCCUAGCUAGACCUUUAGGGUUUUAACUUGGGGCUCUUAGAGAUUAGUCCUUAUCAAAGAUAAUUUUUAGAAUAUAACCUAAGAGGUUUUCAGUAUUUAAAAAAACUCCUUUAUUUCAAUGCACCAUGACAUGUCACCUAUACAACUACCAAAGUCUUUACCACUAUUUACAUGCCUGCCAUCUCAAAUGUUAGAACUACCUCUUGUUCUCAAAUUCUUAACCAUCAACAUUAGAGAGAGAUUUAGAGAGAGAGAGAGGGGGGAGUCCCUUUUUAUCCGGUAUGGAAAUCACGACAUUAAAAGCAGCUUGAAUUGCACCUGUAAUCAAUGAAAAUUUUCAAAUUUUCAAACAUGUUGUUUACUCUCGCAAAACAGUAUUUCAGUUGUUGUAACCGUUUGGACCCUUGCUCCACAAAAAUCUAUUUGAAGCUACGAUUGUUCGGCUUCCUCGAUUUGUUGACUUCGUCAGAACCCACGAAUCACUUGUAAGAUACUAUGUGUGCUUUUCUUUUGUCGUAAUCAUAAGCUAUAUGGUGUGGAAAAUGUGUUUAGCUGUCAUAAUCAACACACCAGUUGAUACUUGUAUAACUUGUUGGUAUGGUGUGCAUGUAUUGGUCCGAUAAGUUUCAUUGUUUUAGCAAGAAUUGAUUUUUACAAUGCAUACCAUGUGUUUGUUGAAAGGCUUCUGUGGAGAUUUUGUAUUUGUAGGUUCUUGUCAAUUAGGUCCCCUCCAUUCGGUAUGGUUAGUUAGGUCAUCUCCAUUCGGUACGGUCAGUUAGGUACACUAUAUCGUUUCGUUACGGUCAUUUUCUCUACAUACAAUUAGUUCCUUUCGUUUAUCCUUGGACUCAUUUUUAAUUUAUUGAGUGCAGGACUAUUAAAAAAAAUGAAAGCAUUUGAGACAGCGUAAAGAUAAAUGAGAUUGAAACAUUGCAAAAUUGCAAGUAGAAUAGGAUGUGAAGCAGGGGGAUGAAAGCUCAUUGAAAAAUAGUGUAUUGUGCAUCUUAGUUGGGAAGGGAAUGAGGAUAUGGCCUAAAAUCAUUGCUGGCUGCGCAAUGCCAUCCUAUAUUUUUGUACGGUCUUUUAGGUUUGGAAUGGUCAGUUAGGUACAUUGCGUAUGUUUAGGUCUCCUCCAUUCAGUACAGUCUAUUAGGUCCCCUCCAUUCAGUACGGUCAAUUAGGUCCCCUUCAUUCUGUACGUUCAUUUAGGUAUGUUGCGUACGUUUAGGUCCAAUUGAUUUGGUAUGAUCAAUUAGGUUGUGAAUUCAAUUACUUACGUUAUGAUGUUUAGGUCUGUUUGAUUUGGUAAGCUCAAUUUGGGCACACUUUCAAAUAAUUAUGUUUAUAGUGUAGGUCCGAACAAUUCAAUAUGAAAAAAGUUGGCACUGUUUGUACUAAUUAGGUUUGAAUCCACCUGAGGACUUAUUUAAUCCAUUUUGUUGUAAUACUUGAUGCAUUUCAAUCAUUGUGUAAACCAUGAUACUUUUCCAUAUUGUAUGAAUCCGCAGGUUAUAGGAAUAUGGCACGAAAGAGGAGGAGUGAAUAUUCAUUCCUACAAUACAGGUCUAACAUGGGGAUUUUUGCAGGAGCCUACCAAAAAUUUCAAAAUCAUGUCAAAACUAUCCACCUAGAGCUUAUGGAAAGGACACCAUUUUGGGGUUUGUUCAAGAUAUAUAGAGAAGGCAUUGCGACAGAUGAUGCAUGGAAGAACGACUACGAUGUUAUUGAUAUACUACAGACAUAUAAUAAGGAUCUUAAAUGUUUUGUACCUACGUGAUGCUUAAUGUUUUGAUCACUUAGUAUUUUGUUGUGUGACACAAAGGCUAUCGAGCCCAUUUCUUUUGCUGCUGCAUGAUGUCAAAAACAAUGAAUUGGGUAUCGAACUUGAUGUUGUGUGCUUCAUAUUUUCAUAGUUUGCUAUUUUAGAAUUUUUGCAACUGCAUGAUGCAUAUGUUAUUGUACCUUCUUAUUUUUCAUGGUUUGCUUCCUUUUUUUUUUGUCAUUUCGGAUGUAAAAUUAAGCAAAAUUUUAUUUGUUUAUUAUUUUAAAAAAAAUGAAAUGAAAAAGAAAAUUGUUUUAAUUAGCUGAAAUCAAGGGAUUUCUUAACCAUUGAUUACAGUGAUACAGUGGAAAUGACAAAUCUCUAAUAAUCAUGGUGUUAUGAGACAAAUUAACCAUUGUAAUCUGCAAAAAACAAGGGAUUUCAUUAACCAUUACAAUCAGCCAAAUUGUGGGCACAAUUAAAUAGCCAUUUGGUGUUUCAUAAAGGAAAUUCAUAACCAUUGUAAUAAAAAACAUAUCGUACUCAUUAUUGACAUUCCAAAAUUAAUCAACCUUGACCAUUGAAAUUCACCAACUUAAUCAUUCGUGAGCCAUAUACACUGAACCUAUCUGACUGUACCUAAACUUUCAAGGGCAACAUGGAUUGGUGUUGUCAUGGAUGAUACCAAAUUAACCAUUGUUGCAAGUAGAGAACUUAUGUUUGCUUGUAUCUCUAAGCUUGACAAUGAUUUUUACAAUAAUGGGUUGCCAAGAAAUUACAGAAAAGAAAAUUAAUAUUUUCAUUCGUACGAUUUAGUAUCAACACUUGUGUAGGUGCAGUUGAAUAGGUUCGGAAAAACUAAAACGAGACACCAUUUCAUUUAAAAGUAAAUCUUUAUUCUAAACUCUUUAUUAAUAACCAAAUGGAAAUAUAGUUCUGGGAGUAAUAAAACUAAAAUCGCUGAAACAAACAUAGUUCUAUUGCAAACGAUAAAUUGAAAAGAUAAGCUCUUAAAUUUGGGCUUAACAUGUGAGAGAAUUAUGCCACCCGAUUCGAUGACACCUCCCACAUGUUAUUGGCCUUGAUUGUUCACCAAUUGAUUUCAUCAUCUUAAGCUUUGGCCUCCCAUAUUGUUUUUUGGUCAAUGGUGGUUCCACAACAAUUUCUUCAUGUCCAUCAAUAUCAGGCCUAUCAAUGUUCGGAAUUGGAUAUAUUGGGAAGGAGUAAGAAGACUUGUAGUAUUCAACGGUGAAGAAAUCUUCAACAUAGUCAUUAGGAUUUCCAUCAUCAUUGAUAUUCGCAGCCACUGCAUGCUUAUAGGAAACCCUUUGAUUUGCCAUUGAUAACAUGAAUAGAAACGAUUUUGCAAAUCCACCAUCACUGAAAUGUCAUUGUGUACCUCAAAACAGAUAGACUUAACCUACUAAUUUCCCAAUGCCUGCCAACUUCCAAAACUUGAUUAAAGCGCUCCUCCAUCUCAGGGCAUAGAAAUGUAUUCCAAUUGUGUGUUGCUCGGAACCAUUCUUUAUUCAUUUCCAUCAUCUUCACUCUAAUACAAUCAACCAAUUGAUAAAUUGGUAAAGAUCGUUCUUCACAUAUCCAAGAAUUAAAAGAUUCUGCAACAUUGGACCACAUUUCUCCGUACCUAUAUAAGGGAAUGGUGAUUAAUGUAUGAACCUCAUUUCACAACCAAAGAUGAAAGAGAAAAAUAAAAACCGAAAAAUGCACAUACUGGCACCUUCAAAAGAUGCAUUGGACCAAUUUUCUUUUAGAAGACUAUCCAAGAAAGUUCUCAUUAUGGAUCCAUCUUCAUCCUUUAGAACCCUUAGGUGCACAUCAAAGGCUUCUGGGGUAGGUGCAUAAGCACACUUGCAAAACAAAUGCACAAUAUAGUCCCUGAAAAUUUUGCCACAACCAGUAGGAUAUUUACUGAAGGGACAUACAGAGAAGGGAUUGUGCACAGUUUAGUAAAACUGAUGUUAUGAUAUACUAGAGAAUUUGGUACAAAUUGCCAUCAAAAUUCUCACUAAUGCACAUAUUAGUAAAACUAUGCCACCAAGUUCGCAUGUGCGGGAUCAUUUAAAAAAGAAUUCACUUGAGCAUUUCAUCAUACACAAAAUAUGCAUUGUGUAUUAAUCAUAUGAACCCCAACACAAAUUUCGUCAAAGUUAAUCCAUGCUUCAACUAUUUGAAAAAAGUUAAAUUGAAAAUUUGAGAGAAAUAAAGAACAACAUUUUACAAUUUACAGAAAUUACCUGAACUGGUCGGAAUUGGUGCUAAAAACCUGAACAAAAAAUAGUCUAGUAUGCACGAAUCACCAGUGAAUAACACAACAACUGCUUCACUUUGAUUUUAGACCCAAGAGUUUAUAUAAGAAAAUUCUACUAUGAAUUGAUAAUGAGACAAUCCAACCAAUAACGAGAAACUGAUUUUUGGGAUCAAUAUAUAGAAAGGAAGCGUGAACAUCAUCAUCAGUAGAGAAAAAAGGGAAAAGCUUCAUUGACGCCGAAGAUGGAGAGAUGAAUCGUAAUCGAUGCAGACAGACAUGAGGAAUCCAUAACUACAAAACGUUUAAACAUAUAUUUGUACCUAAGGGAAAUAUAGGUAAAUUAAAAAUAUAAUAAAUUGCUAGAAAAAUAAUUAAAUAUGACAUGGACUAUAUAAUCUGAUGUGAACAUGAGUUAAAGGACUAUUUUUAGUUUUUAAUCUUCAAUACUGUAUUAAUCUUAUUUAGGGAUUAAAAUUAAGUUUUCGAGACCUAUGGCGGUUAUAACCAUCAUCUGAAACACGAUGAAAAUGUCAAUAUAAAUGGCCAAUUUAGUUCUCUUUUUGCGUUUCAGCUCAUCAUUGGAUUCCAAAGACUCUGCAUCGCUUCUUGUGUAACCAUUUGCUGGUGCCAAAGGAUAAACCUAUUGGUUCUUCUCAGCCAUGUUCUUCUCUUUGUGAUAAAAGUGAAAAGAAAAUUCUCUUAAUUUGUCAUGUAUUAUUGCAACGAUGACUUUUUGUGAAGCAAAUCACCUAACGAUAGGUGAAGGGAUAUAUAUAUAUAUAUAUAUAUAUAUAUAUAUAUAUAUCUACUAAUUAAUAAAAUCUUAUUUGUCAACCAAAAAAAGGUAUAAAGACAAUUAGUAUUCUAUCACACAAAAAAAAUGAUGGGCAAUAAUGUAAUUUCACAUGUCCAGAUUUUACUGUUUUUUAUUGAAGCCUCACCUACAUGUGAUGUUAAAAUACCUCUAAUAUUAGAAAAAAAAAAACCAAAAACAAAAACCUUCAACUCUCCCUACGUUCUCUCUCUCUCCCUCUCACCUUCUCAUCUUCUAAAAAAAUGUGUUCAUACACACAAGUAUGUAGGCAAAUGCUAGUAUUCUAUUAAGAGAAGAGGACUUGUCAACUUUUUUUCCCCUUUUUUCCAAUUUUGCCCUCACUUUUGAACACACAAUAUUGACAUGAGGAAGGCAAAAUAGUAAAUUUGUACCUUUUGACAAAAUGACAAUCAUAUCCAUAUUUUUCCUAUUUUACCUUUUUUUUUUUUUAGAAAAUAACAAUCAUAUAAUUAAGAGAAAUUGUUCACACACACAAAGUGUGUGCUUUCUACUAGUAUAUAUUAAGGUACUUUACUGUUUAUAAACUUUGAUUUUAUUCUUUAGUGUCCCACAUGAUAAUUGACACACCCCGUCUCGAAGGAGGGCAUGUUGGCCGUCACGUGAGAGUGACGUAACCAUUUACACAGUUUGGAGGCUUUAAAUAUACAAUUACUAAGAUGUAACACCCGAGGGUGAGUCCUACUUUUGUGAAUUCUGUUAGAACACCGUUGGAUUCCUCAUGGCCACCAAAGCUCAUAAUGUCCAACACACCUUGAUUCUAGGAUCGGGGUGUGUCAAUAAUAAUAUUCUCUUAUGGUGCAUAAUAUCUCCUUUGUAAAUUUCUUCAAGUGAAUAAUAUUCCCUUAUGGUGCAUGAUCUCUUGCUAUAAAUUUUCUAGUGGUGAUUUAAUUUGAGGCAUGCUCAGAUUUGAGUUCCCCAUCACUACCUUUCUAAUUUUCUUCCAUGCCAAGUCUACUAAUGAUAUUCUUUCUCUAAUCUCUUUUUUUUUUUUUAAAUUUUUUUAUUGCAUUACAGAUUUGAAGCACUUUGUUGCAGUGUACUCUUGUGUUUUUUUUUUUUUUUGCCUACUAAGUCAAAUCAAGACUAUUAAUUGUUUUCUAAUAUGCAUCUAAAUUGUUUGAGACCAAGUUCAAUUUCACAAAUCCUCAAUAUUGUUCCAUAUGGUAUUGUUUGGUACGCAGACGGGACAGGACGGGAUAGGAAUAGAGGUUCCGUGUUAUGUUUGGUACGCACAGGACGAAACAUGAUGGUUAUUCAAUUUUGUGUUUGGUACGUGCUGGAUGGAACAGAACCAAAAGAUUAAAUGACUAACUCAUCCCUGUUUUGUCUGUUGUUUGGUACAAUGUUUAUGCGUGGGACGAGAUGGGACAAAGGUUUUUUUUUCUUUUUGAACUUGUUCAUAUUUUGAAUACAUAUAUGCUUAUCUAUGAUAUAUUUUGAUAUAUUUUUUACACUAGCACAUGGCUAAAGAUAUGUUAUGCCAUGAAUUCUAUCUUUUAUAACAAUACGAUGCUUAGCUUCAAUAUGGUUGAAGCUUAUCGGUUCAAUGAUGUGAAGAGGCAACAUUCAAACAAUAUGAUAGUAUUAGUGUAAAAUUAUGAGUCUCUAUUUUACGGAAGUAGGCUUUCCAUACAUGUCUACAUCUCAGUAGUCUUCAAACAAUAAAAAACAAUUACAACAAUCAUUUCAGCAAAAUGUCAUCAAACUGUCAUCAAACAAUGAAUUGGUAAACUACUAGAAUAAGAAUGGAAACAUAUCUAUCAAAGGUUAUUCGCUUUAACUUAUGCCAUUAUCCAUUAUGACUGUUAUAAAACAAAAACUAAAUCCAAUAGCUGUUAAUUAUACAUCAGUAAGAUCUAAACCAAUAAUUAUGUUGCAAUCUUAGCUAACAAAUGUCCCACUCAAUCAGCAGACAUUGAAAUUAAACUCCACGGUGUGAUCCUGCUUCAUUUAUGUGUCAAACCCUGAACAUGAAAUCUCGAAAACUCGAAAAAGUGAGCCAAAAAGCUCUUACCCAGCUAAGAUCAAGCAAAAAUGGAAAGAACCCAGGUCCUCAAAUCCUACAAGGACUCAGCCACAUUUGCCCCCCUUCCCCUGAUCCUUAUCACAAGCCCACAAGACCAAAUCUCUCAUGCACUCCAAUUCCGAUUGCAAUCCUCCCAAAACCUCACUCACUGAACAACAAUACCAACAAGGCAGCCGUAUACAAGCACAGAAGGUAAAAGCAAUGCAAUUCACCACCUCGUAACCAUCCUUCUCCCUGUAAAAUUAUAAGAGGGAAUUCCGAUACAAGAAUCAGCAUGCUAACUUGUAGGCAUGAAAGUUAACAAAUUCAGUUAUCUACACCAAUAUAUAGAUAACAGAUAGAUUAACAUAUAUCAUAAGCUUCACUGUUAUCCAAAUUAUAUGUACACCAAGCAAUCCCUCAUUUGUAUAUAUCAUACAAAGUGAAUUCCAAUUCCAUGUCGUCAUUUUUACUCCAGCCCUUCUUUGGCCAAAUUCUCCAACUCAUAUAUAUAAAUAGACAGUAUAUAGAUUAGUCUUUGAUAAGCCACAAGCUCGCAACCACAGAAAGACCAGUCUAUACCACUCCUUUUUCUUACAUUCUUCUUCCUCCUCUUCUCCUUAUUUUCUUCCAUCUUUCAUUUUCUCUACCCCUCCUAACAGACCCAAAAAAUCCACAACCAUGGCUGCCACUCUCUCUUCCCUCACAUUGGGCACUCCAUGAUAUUCCGCCAUGCUUGCAGCCGCCGCCUCCUCUCUCCAAUGUUUUAAACUCCCAAACAAAUUGAACAAAAUUAAACAAUAGCCCAUGUUCUGAUAAAAAAAACAAAAAUUAAAAAAAAAAAAAAAAACGACAACAACAACAAGAGCCCAUGUGUAUGAUAGUAAAUUCAUAUCAUCUAAGCACCAUCAGUGAUCAGUAAGAAUUUAAGAAAUCUCAAAUUGGAACUACAGCAGCAUCCAAAUAUCACCAGUGGGGUCUUACAUUUGUUUGCUCCUUUCUUCAUUUCUAAUUCAGAAAUCUCAAAUUGGCAUGUUAAAUCUAUGCACUCGCACUCCCAGUUGCACAAAUCUUAACAAAACCCAGUAAUUAACACAACCUAAUAAUUAACAAAUUAGCAACAAAAGAUAAAAAAGAAAACCCUAAUUAAUUAAAACCCAGAAAACUUUCAACCGAAACGCAAAACAAUGAAAAAAAAUUGAGAUUCAUCAAGCCAUCAAUCGCAUACCUGGGUCAAUCUGCAGCACAACAGUAGUGGCUUCGUGCUACUGCGUGUUGGCUGGGUGCAGCCGACACCUACGGGAGAGGAUGAGGAGGAAGCCCACGGGAAGAGAAAGGCAGCGGCAGAAUGAAUGCAGGAAGAAGGAGACGGAGAGGUUGAGACAUGAGGAAAGAGACAAUGGGAGAGGGGCAAUUUUGUCUAAAAAUGUUAUAAUUUUGUGUUUGUAAACACGGAAAUUCCUGCGAUGAACGAGACAAGAAACACGUGUACAAAAUAAUAUUUGUAUUGAUGAUUUAGGGGUUACAAUCUCUUCUACAAAUUUAGCCUCUGAUUCUAUCUUUGUAAUGGGUGGAUUUGAUGUUGUUGAUCCAAAGGGCCGUUGGGGCUUGAUCUUGGGAUAAACAGUUGUGCGGAUUUGUUGACGUCGUUGAUCCAAAGGGCCGUCGGGGCUUGAUCUAGGGAUGAACGAAUGAUGAAUGAUGAACGCUUUCUUCAAGGGCUGUGGGGGGUGGCUUGAUCUUGAAUUAGUGGAAGUUCUUCAAGGACCAUUGGGGCUUGCUUUUGAAUGAGGAUUUGAUGAAGAAUGAAGAGAGCUUUCUUGAUCAUUCGGGGUUUGCUUGAGAGUUUUGGAGUUUCAAAGCUUCAAGGUUGUGGUGUGAGGUGAAUUGGUUAUGAAUUCGUGUGCUAAAAUGAAUGCCUUGGCCUCCUAUUUAUAGAAUUCCAAAACUUGAUUUUUUUGGAUUUAAAUAAUCAGAUGAAAUAAAUCAUUUCUGCCAGGUGUUGACACGUGUCCUGUUUGAUGACUUUUCUGAUUUAUUUUGAUUUUUCGUUUAGUCACAUGCUAUGUAUAAAAUUUAUGUGACACAUAAACAUUGAAAUUUUAAUUAUUGAUCAACAUUUAUUUUACCGAAAUUUCGAUGUCUACAAAUGCCCCCACUUCAAGGCGCGUCGUAUACAUGUGCUUGUCACGUGUAGAAGAUGCGUUUUGAAGUCCCUUACUGUAGAUGUUGAUCCAAGGGCUGUUGAGGCUUGAUCUUGAACUAGGUUGGUGAUUUCUUCAAGGGUCGUUGGGGCUUGAUCUUGAACUUUGUUUGAAAUUUCUUCAAAGGCCGUUGAGGCUUGAUCUUGGAUGUUGAAAUUGGACCACAAGGAGCUUCAUGUGGUAGAUGAUCUUUUGCUUUGGUAGUGGGUGAAUCGGCACGUAUUUUAUUGCGCUUGUUGACUUUCCACAGCUUUGAUCUUGAAUUGGUUCGGAGGAUUUUCUGGUUUCCUCCAAUUGUUGACUUUCCACAGGCUUAUUCUUGAACUGGGUUGGAGGAUUUUCUGGUUUCCUCCAAUUGUUGACUUUCCAUAGCUUAUUCUUGAGCUGGGCUGGAGGGUUUUCUGGUUUCCUCCAAGGGACUUUCCACAGACUUAAUCUUGAACUGGAUUUGAUUCAAGGGUGGUGGACACUUGAUCUUGAAUCGGACUUGUAAUUUCUUUAAGGGCUGUCGAGGCUUGAUCUCGAACUUAAACAUGACCACGAGCAAUUUCAGGACAUGCAUGCUUUGAAAGAUCAAGGAAGUUCGUAGCAUUUUCAUAUGAACCCUGAGCAGUUUGGUCAACGAUAUGAUCUUCAAGAGUGAUGGGCGCUUCUUCUAGUUGGUGACUUAAUCUUUAAGGAUUUGAUUCAAGGGUGGUAAAUCGGCAUGUGCAGCUCACAACGCCUAGCGGGCCGACCCAAGAAUUUGAGGGUCGAAACAGGUCCACCAAACCCAGAGUGAUUGCAACCCUAAUGAUAUGAGAUACUUUUGAUUUUGAAGAAGUAGCGGAUGAAUCGGCAAGUGUUUUGUUGUGCUUGUCUCAACAUGCUUCAAUGUAUCAUUUUCCUUUGCCUUAUCUGUUCUUCAGGCAGAUGUGGUAUUUUCUCUAGAAGCAUAAGAUGUUGAAACAAUGGGUACUUCGAGAGCAGUGCUAGGUAAGCAAUCAGGGAAGGGUUCCAAGCAGUUGGUUCCAGAUCGGAAGAUUGAUACCAAGUGUUGUCUGUUUGCUUUCUUUCUCCUUGUCCCGCAGGUAAAAACAAGGACAAAGAAAAGAAUAGGGAGAAAGCAUGAUAUGAAAUACUUUUGCUUUCGAAGAAGUGGUGGCGAUUUGACAGCAUUGCACAACGAGGCUUUGUUCUUCGACGAUGAUGCCGCCAAUAUGUUUGUUGAAACUUCUCGAGCUUUGGAUUCAACUCAGACUCCUUCUACUGGGUUGGUUGAUUGUACAAGGAAAGGGAGACUUGAUCUUGAAGGAAAUCAGCACGAUGUCUCCACAUGCUUCAAGGUAUCAUUUUCACUUGCCUUAUCUGUUCUCCGGGCAAAUAUGGCAUCUUCUUCGGAAGUACAUCAGCAACUGAAGACGAGUACUCAAAAGCAAAGCUAGGUAAGAAACCAGGCAAAGGUUCCAGGUAGUCGGUUCCUUGCCCGGAGUUUGAGUGGAGGUUUCGACAUAUUGCUUUCUUUAUCCUUGUCUUUGCAGGUAAGAACAAGGACAAAGGAAAGGACAGGGAUAAAGCAUGAUAUGAGAUACUCUUGCUUUCUACCCUGGUGAUAUGAGAUACUUUUUCUUUGGUGUCAUUUGUUUGCAGAGGUAUUCUAGGAGAGGAAGAAAAUUGGGUAUUUCGAGAGGCUCUGCUGAGAGUGUACUCUUAGAAAUGAGGAAGGGUUUGGCAUUUUUGCAGGUCUGCCUUGCUAUGGACGGUGAAGGUGGACAAUUAUAGGAAGUUCUUUAAUACCUGUAAAGGUACUAUUCUUUCACUCGUGUUGGCAACCAUUGAGUGAUUGAUCAGUAUGGCUUCACAUGCUUUCUUCUUCAUAAAAAAUCUUCAACAAAUUGCCCGUAAUUUCCGCAAAGCUGAGUGUGCAUGUGACAGGUGCUGACAAGGCUGAAAAAGACUGGCGCCUCUUCGAUAUCUGAGAUUGGCGCUUCGACAAAUUAUCCGUGAUUUUCGCAAAGUUGAGUGUGCAUGUGACAGGUGAUGACACGUCUGAAAAAAGCAAGUGCCUUUUCAAUUUUUGAGAUCGGCCCAUGGUUUCUGAGCAGCCCAGCUUUUGAGAAAGCAGACGUCUCUUCGAUCUCUAAGCUUGCCUCUUCGAUUUCUGAACUCGCCUCUUCAAUUUCUGAAGCUCCGUCGAGUGCUGAUUUUUAAAGACAGGCACGCAUCACAUUCCAAUGCACACUUGAAUUUUCCGCCUGUAGAAGCUCCCUACUUGCACUUCUAAGAACUUGAUUUGUCCGACCUCUUCUUUUUCUUCACACCUUCGAAAAUGUCUUGCCCUUCUGACCGUCGUCUUAACUUGAAUGUCGGGGAAGAUAGUGACAUAUCUUUUUCAAACAACAUUUGGCAGCCAUCCUUCGUAUCUCCCAAUGGUCCUCUUACAGUUGGGGAUUCUAUGAUGAUGAACGAUACAACCGCUUCGGUGGUGGCUAGAAAUCUUCUCACUCCUAGAAACACUAGGAUACUUUCCAGACGGUCCGACGAGCUGAUUGUUCAGGACUCUCUGGCCUACAACGUCCGAUGUGCAGGCUCAGUUUCAAACAUGGGCCAAUGCCUUCUUGCUCGAUCUCGUUAGGUUGAGUCGUUGAUGGCUGAGGUGGCCAGUCUUCGGCAAGAGGUUAGAGUGCUUAGGCACGAGAAUAAAGAGUUGCACAUGCUCGUAACUAAUUACUCAACAAGCAUGAAGAGGAAGCUUGACCAGCUGCAGGAGUCCGAAGUUCGGAUUCAGAGUGAUCAUCAGAGGUUUGUGGCGUUACUCCAGCGGCAACUUCUGCCUUCGUCCUCUGGUGCUUCACCAAGUGUUGAAGCUCCGAAUAAUCAAUCUCUGGUGCUUCAUCUUUCUGGAGCUCUGCCGAGUGAUGAGGCGCCACCUGAUCAUCCUUGAAGAUCCCUUCCUGUAAAUUUGAUUUGACUUUUUUUUUUUUUAUGUAUAAUGCAAAUUUCCAUAAAAAUAAAUAAAAUGGACUUUAUUUCUCUUAAUGCAUUUUAGAUAUCAAUGGACAUGCUUUAUUUUAUUCAGUAUGUUGUGCUAAAUACAAAUAAAACGUAUAUCUGACUAAAAUGCGUUACUUCCUUCUUCUCUUUUUUUUUUUUUUUUUUUUUUUUUUUUACUUCACAGUAGCUGGCACCUUUUUUUUAGUUGGCACUUUCUUUUUGUACAUAAUCAUAUUUUCCCAGUGCACCAUUUAGGGUAGCUAGCACUUUCUUUUAGUUGGCACUUUCUUUUUGUACAUAAUCAUAUUUUCCUACUGCACCAUUUUACUUAACAGUAGCUAUAGCUGACACUUUCUUUUAGUUGGUACUUUCUUUUUUGUACAUAAUCAUAUUUUCCUAGUGCACCAUUUUACUUAACAAUAGCUAGCACUUUCUUUUAGUUGGCACUUUCUUUUUGUACACAAUCAUAUUUUCCCAAUGCACCAUCCCAUCACCUCUCAUUUUGGUUUUUCUUUUCCAGGCACGGGUGGUCGUUUGCACAGUUUACACAGUCACGGACCUGCAUUUUGAAUAGCCACCGUAUUUCAUUUGCUUCUCCGGGGACCUUUAUAUAUAUAUAUAUAUGGGAUUGCUCCUUUGCUUGUACACUUAUUACAUAGCUUCAUCCACUGCGUUGCUUGUUGCCUUGCAUCGCCACUGCACCAUUGUCCAGCAAUCCUGCGCUGCUGCUUUUACUUGGUGAGUCACUUGAGUGUAUAUAUAUGUCUUUUGAGCCGUGCAUGCCAUUUCCAUCUUUUGAGCCAUGCAUAUAUGUAUAUAUAUAUUUGUCCCAUCACCAUCACCAUUUGCGUCCUUAUAUAUAUAUGUGGAGGUUGAUCGUCUUGUCACCAUCUCCAUUUUGUGCACUUGUCCCAUUACCAAACCAUGCACACAUAUGUCUAUAUAUACAUAUAUACAUAUAUAUAUAUAUAUAUAUAUAUAACGUAAUAUAAUGCUUUUUUUUUACGCACAAUGUGUGUGUCCCCACUGAUGGAUUUCUUUGUUUGUAAUGUCAGGAAUUUUUUUUUUAAAUCUUGAGAAGGCAGAGCUUGACGCCAGGAUUUUCGCAAAGCUUUUAAAGCCGUGGGUGUGCUUGUGUAAGAGACCGCAACGAGGUUUCGCUGUGUAGUGCUUUUUGACCACAGUUUUCCCUCGGUGGCGCGUUGCCGUGUGGUGCUGUGCAAGAGCUUGCAGCGAGACUUUGCUGCGUAAUGCCUUUUGGUCACAGUUCUUUCUUGGUGGUGACGUCGACGUGUGGUGCAAGAAACUGCUUGCGUAAUCGCUGCGGGUUUGCGUAGUGCGAUUGCGUAGCAUUUUGGUUUCCUUUGCCACUGUAGUGUGCUUUGAAGGACCAUCCUGUAGCUGCCAUCUUUGUCGUGCUGCUCAAGUUUUGUGGCUGAUUUGCGGUCCUGGUAUUUUUCAAAUGUUUUAGGAACAACACCAUCACCAUUCUUGCGAAGGAAGACGAUUCACAAGAUGAAGGAACAACAUUGAAGCUUUACCCGCCACUAACUGGUCCUAAGGCGCUUGCUUUUCCUGUGAAAGACAAUUCCAUGCAUAUUAAGUCGUGGUCUUCUGAAGUAUCUUGGGAGGUGGUAGACGCUGUUCAACCAAAUACGAAGAAAAAGGCGUACACAUUGAGGGUUCUUAUUUUGAAUCAUUCGCACCAUGCUCGUGACCAUCACCCGGCCUCGUUUAAGCUUCUUGGUGAACACAUUCGCAACGGAGCCAUGGCUUGGAAUGGUACCCUGUCGACUACUGGAGAAGCCGUCUUUGAUGAGUUUUAUUGGGAGUGGCUCGAAGAUGUCUUAAGCCGAUCUAAAGAUGUGCUUACUAAAGUGGGCCUUUACCACGCUGUGUACGCAUCUUUGUUUAGUUAUGAUUGUCAUCCUUCCGUCCUUCGAGCGUUCUUUGAGUAUUGGUGUUUAGGGACCAACACACUUCACACGACGCAAGGGGAGAUGUCAAUAGGAGGCUUGCCGAUCCAUGGUAAGUUUUAUGAUGAGGUCGUUCCCAGCACGGAGGAACUUUCUCUUUGCAAUAGCCGAGGAUUACCUGCGAGUUGCCGCUAUUUGUUUUGGGCGUAUCACAAGCUUUUCCAGGAUGCUCAAGGUAAAUCAGGCGUGACGAUUUCCUCAUGGAUCCGAUUUUGGUACUGGGAGGCUAUGAGGUAUAAGAGGUCUUCGAAGAAAAGUUGUCGUAACAAGACCACUAGGCCAAAGGGAGACUCAGACCCGUCCGGUGUUAUUGGCUCAACCAGGCGCCACUCUUUUGACGAGUUGAGAGCGUUUGAGGAUCUUGGCAUAGUAUCAGAGCAUGUGGAUGAGUCUUACCUAGCUGAUUUCUUAGCUUGUUGGCUUUGUAAGUUUGUUUUCCCGACAGGCGACGUCAACUUAGUUCAUCCUGGAGUUUUCAAAAUUGCUAGCAAGAUGGUUGCAGGUGAGUCUUUUAGCCUUGCUAUUCCGGUUUUAGCCAACAUUUACAAUGGCUUGAGCAUUGUUUUGAACUAGGCAAGCACUGAAGAUCGUGCUGCGGUGCUUUCUUACCACUAUGUGUAUGGUUGGUUGGGUGAAUAUUUUGGCACUCACUUUUCUUUGACGACUCUAGACAAGUCAAUGCCUUCUUCAUCGACUGCAGCCAAGAUGAGGCAUUUGAUAACGAAGUAUUCUGGCGUGCUCUCCGCGAAAAGCCUUGAUGAUUUGCAGGCACGAGCGCUAUUUGAAAGUUAUGAAGAUUUGAGGAUGGACCCCUUAGCGAGAGUUGGCUCGGCGCGACGAGGCAUCGUAGACAAUUCGUAUUUUCGCUCGUCAGACUUGUCUUAUCUUAUAAGUCUUCGUUCGGGGUUUGUUUCUUUGCGGCAAGAAGGCCGAUGCAUUGUUUAGCCAUAUAGUCCCCACCGCUUCAGCAGGCAAUUUGGUUUUGUCCAGAACUUGCCAGGCAAGCUGAAGGAAAAGAACCAAUCAGCAUCCUUGUAAGUCGUGUAUGUACAAAUGUUGUUAUCACGCUACCAGCCAAGGACGAGUUCAAGAGUAAUCCAGUGACCCAUGUUUAUGCUCGUUGGUGGUCAAAGGUAUAUUAUAAGAACUUGGGGAUGGCAAGUGGUACCAAUUCUUCUCACUCGGGCAAUGAUAUGUCAAGAGAGGGCUGUCAUGUGGUUCCUAUGCAAGCGGUAGCUCUUGAUUCCACCAGUGCGGCUUCUUUACAAGAUAGACUUGUAGCUUUAGCUCCUCAACGCCCAUGCUUGUCUUCUCGACAUCCAGAUGUUUCUGAAGAGGCGGGAGAUGAAGUUGACUCGCACGAAGAUGGAUUUAUUUUGCAACAGUGUCAACAAGUUUCAAACAAGCGACCACUUGAGGAUGUUCAGGUUGACAGCGAUGUCAAUUUUCGUCAUAAGAAGAAAGAAGUGUUUAGACCUCCUCUACUCGAUGACUGUGUGCCACUUGAGAGAGAUGUAUGUACUUCAUUCUCUCUCGUGAUUUCUUAUGCUUUCAUUAUUUUUCUUUCGUUUCUAACAUCUUUCUUUGUCUUCUUUAGGUUGGGCCUUCUUGUUCUUUUGAUUUGGCAACUGCAGAUGUUUAUUCCUAUACGGAUAUGCUAUUUGCAGGCAAACUACCUACAGAAAGGGAGAUCAGGGAUCCGCCUGGUGCAGAGCUUGUUCCAAAUCCGCCGAACUUCCCAAGUUUGCCAUGUGUAGGUAAAGGUAUGCAAGAACACGUUAUGUGUCCAACUCCUUUGCCAGCUAGCUCUGAGAUCUCUUUGAGAGGGCCGAACCUUAGCGGUACUGAGCAAGUCAUCCAUCGCAUCAGUCUUAGUGCGACAAUGGAUAUCAAGAGCCAUAUAGAGGAGAGGAUUUCCAAGUGCCCGUUGGAAGACCUUACGUUGCUCAAUGAGGAUUUGUUGAAGCUUGUUUCUGUUAUUGACAACCUUAACGUUCACUCUUCAUCUUUGAAGAUCAAGAUUGUCAAACUUAUGGCCGCCUCGACUGAGUAUUCUUCCUUGCGUGCCAUUUCCUUGGAGAAGUUGAGUCCAGAUGUUAGAGCUCAUCAGCUAGCAACAAUAAACUCGUCACUGGCUCAAGUCCAGUUUUCUCAGCAAGCUGCUUUGGGAGAUUAUCAAGUUACAGAGACUUCUUUAUCUUAUGUCCAUGUGCGUCUAGAUACGUUGGCGAGAGAGAGAGAGUAGUUGGUAAUCGAAGCAUCGCAACUUGAAUGAGAGAAAUGCAUGACUAUGAAGUUGCCCAUCUUGUCUCCCACCGAGGCAGAGACUUUGAAGACUUUGGAAAGCUUGCUUGAAGAUCGUCUUCGUAGUUUUGGGGACAUAGUUUUCAAGUAGUAUCUUUUGGUUUUUUUUUUUUUUUUUUGUGAUAUGGCUUUUGGAGCCGACUCCUUCUUUCAAAGAAAUAAAGUAUUUACAUUCUUGAAUUUGCUCUUCAUUCUUUAAAGUGUUUUUUUUUUUAGAUGGUGUGACUGUACUUGAAGUUUUGACGUUUCAAGUUGCCUACGUACCCUCUGUUGAGGAGAGAUUAAGUCAUAACGUAGUUCAAAUGCAUUUUUAUUUUUUUUUAUUUUUAUGAUGAUUUUGCCGUACAUAGUUUAUGCUCUUGUGGGCCAGGAGCUUUGGUUGUCGCCUUUUAGGGGUAGUAGCGCUUUAAGAAUCUUCCAUUGAUAGGGCCAAUCUUCAAGCCGUCUUCUGCCAUGAUUAAGUAGGCGCCGUUGGUGUAGACCUCUUGUAUUACAUAUGGUCCAUCCCAUUUUGAUGUGAACUUGCUUUUCGUCUUGUGAGUUGUGAUGAUAGGCCUACGCAAUGCGAGGACGAGAUCUCUAGUUUGGAAAGACCUUGGGUGGACCUUCUUGUUGAAUGCCUUGGAUAGCCGUGCUUGGUAGCAUUCCAAGUGUUGUUGAGCUUUGAGCCUUCUUUCGUCGAGUGCUUCCAACUCUUGAAGGCGCAACCUUGCAUUCUCCUCAUCAGUCAAGCCUUCUUGUAUAGCCAUUCUCAGUGAGGGGAUUUGACUUUCGAGCGGUAAAACAGCUUCCACGCCAUAUACAAGAGAAUAAGGCGUAGAUUGGGUAGGAGUCCUAUGUGUGGUCCGAUAUGCCCAAAGUGCUUCGCUUAUUCUUUCAUGCCAGUCUCUCUUUGUUCGGCCGAUCACCUUCUUUAAGAGAUUGCACAAUGUUUUGUUGAAUGUUUCUGCAAGACCGUUGGCCGGGGCAUGAUACAUGGAAGACUUGUGCUGCUUGAACUUGUAUUUCUCAUAUAGCUCAUCCACAAGUCGGUUGGAGAAUUGCUUUCCGUUGUCAGUGAUGAUGUAGCGAGGCACCCCAUAUCGGUGGAUGAUGUGCUCCUUGAUGAAACGGACGACACUUUCCUUUUUUACUUCCCUUAGGGGUAUGGCUUCAGCCCACUUAGAGAAGUAAUAUGUUGCCGCUAGGAUGUAAGCUUCUCAUGCAGAUGAUUUCGGAGUAAUUGGUCCUACGACGUCCAAUCCCCAUGCAUCGAAUGGCCAUGAAACAGCUGUAGGGUGUAAUGGUUCAGGUGGUUGGUGUAUGAAGUUGGCGUGGAAUUGGCAGGCUUGGCACCUUUUUGCAUGUUCCAGGCAGUCCUUCACCAUGCUUGGCCAGUAGUAACCCAUUCUUUUGAGCUGGAAAUGUAGCUUUGGUCCAGAUUGAUGCGCCCCGCAUACGCCUGAGUGUGCUUAUUCCAUGGCUUGAUUAACUUCUUCCUCACCUAGGCAUCUCAGAAGUACUCAUUCGAAAGAGUGUCGGUAGAGUGUUUCUUUGUAAUAGAGGAAGCGAGGUGCUCGUCGACGUAUUUCGGAACGGUGUCUAGGAUCACCUGGAAGUUUUCCAUGCUCUAAGUAAUCGAUCAGCGGUUGUCUCCACUCUUCAACAUCGACUGGAAGUACUGAGAUGACAUUUGUAUCAUCCAGUAGCAUUUCAGUGACGAGGGGGAUCACUCAUUUUUGGCAGACUGGCACGUCUACAACUUCGUCUUCUCCUAAUGUCAUGCUUGAGGCUAGGUUGGCAAGAGCGUCUGCCAUUUGAUUAUCUUUUCUUGGCACAUGCUCUAGUGUCAUAGUCUCAAACUUUUGUAGCAGUUGAGUUGCCAGCCGGAAGUAUGGGAUGAGGUCAUCUUUCCACACCUCAUAUUCAGUUAAGAGUUGAUUGAUUAUAAGCUUGGAGUCGCCAAAUACCUUAAGGGCUGUGAUUCCCAUGUUGAUUGCCAUUUGGAGUCCGAUGAUCAGUGCUUGGUACUCAGCGACGUUGUUGGAGCAUAAUUCGCUUAGUUGAAAGGAAUAAGGUAAUAGCUGCCUUUGCGGCGACAUGAAUACUACUCAUGCCCCGGCUCCAUCUGCUCGUGCAGAUCCGUCGAAGAACAUCGUCCAUGUCAGGAAGAUGUCAAUGUAGAACAUUUCCUCGUCAGGCAAGUCGUUUGAGAUUUUCCAAUCAGCUGGGAUUGGGUGAUCGGCAAGAAAGUCUGCUAGCGCUUGUCCCUUUACGGCUUUAGUUGGGACGUAGAUGAUCUCAUAGUGGUUAAGAAGCAGCGCCCAUUUAGCGAGUCGCCCUGUCAAGAUUGAUUUGGACAUGACGUAUUUGACCGGGUCAGCUUUUGCAACUAAGUGGAUGGUGUAAGCAUGCAUCUAAUGCCUGAGUUUCUGGAUGGCGAGCACCAAGGCAAGGCACAUCUUUUCUAUUGAGGAGUAGUUCAACUUGACGCCGGUGAGGAUUCGGCUGAGGUAGUAGAGAGCUCCUUCUUUCUGGGAUUCAUUCUCUUGCGCCAAGAGUGCUCCAACUGAACUUUCCUGAGCGGCGAUGUACAAUAUGAGUGGUUUCCCGGGCACAGGCGCCCCCAAGACAGGUGGACUUGACAAAUACUUUUUUAUGCUUUCAAAAGCAUUGUGGCAUGCUUCGUCCCAUACAAACGAAACAUCCUUCUUCAUGAGUCGGCGGAACGGUUGACAACGCCAUGCAAGGUUAGAGAUGAAGCGUCUGAUGAAGGCUAGCCGUCCUUGUAGACUUUUCAGCUCGUGCGGGUUUCUUGGCUCAGGCAUGCUUUGAAUGGCCUUGAUUUUUUAUUGGUCCACUUUAAUACCACGGUGCUUGACAAUGAAGCCGAGGAACUUUCCGGAGGUGACGCCAAACACACAUUUUAAUGGGUUCAUCUUGAGGUUGUAUUUUCGCAGCCUUUGGAACACUACUCGUAAAUCCUUCAAGUGAUUUGAUAUUUUCUUUGUUUUGACCACCACAUCAUCCACAUAACAUUAUACGUUCUUGUGUAGCAUGUCAUUGAAGAUUUUCUGCAUUGCGCGUUGAUAUAUAGCUCUAGCGUUCUUUAGACGGAAGGGCAUCACCUUGUAACAGUAGAUACCUUUUGGAGUGCGGAAUGCUGUUAGUUCCUCGUCUUCGAGAGCCAUACGAAUUUGAUUGCAUCCAGAAGAGUCGUCCAUGAAUGACAGUGCCUCGUGGUCAGUGGUUGCGUCCACCAUGAUUUCGAUGAUUGGUAAGGGGAAGUCGUCCUUCGGGCAAGCGUCGUUGAGGUCCCGGAAGUCUACGCAAACACAUAUUUAUCCAGAUUUCUUAAGGACGAUGACGAUGUUGGAGAUCCACUUGGGGUAUUGCACCUCUCGAAUGAAUCCUGCUUCGAUUAGCUUGUCAAUCUCUGCCUCGAUUUGUGGAAUGAGCUCGGAUCGAUAGCGCCUUUGAGUUUGCUUUAUCGGUCGCGUUCUCGGCUUGACUGCAAGAUGAUGCACAGCGAUGACAGGGUCAAGGCCGGGCAUUUCUUUGUAAGUCCAAGCAAAGACGUCUUUGUACUCUGAUAGCAGUUGGUAGUACUCCUCUAUCUCGUCUGCUCUUAGCAGUGCACUUACAAAGAUAGGUUUUUGCUCCUCUUUUGUGCCCAAGUUGAGCUCCUUGAGAUCGUCAACCGUGGCUUGCCCCUCAUCCUUGAGUUGUGGUGGUGCAGCAGUGACACCUUCUUCAGGGAUCUCGUCUUCUUUACCUUCUUGGAUCGUGAUGUGGAAGACAUCUUAGACUUCCUCUUUAGUGUCGUCCUCUUGGGUUUGUUGGUAUGAAGAUUGUCCAGUAUGGAUGAUGGUGCGCCUUCUUACUAUCAGUGGUCCAUUUGCGUCAACCUCCAAGAUUGCUUGACGCUUCAUCCUUGAAGGAAUUGAGCUUCGAAUAUCGCCUUUUUCUGCUAGCCUGUCGAGCUUUUCUUCCUUUGACGUUGUUUCCCUAUUUCCAGAAAACUUCAUGUUGUCUUCAAGUCUUUCCAAAGCUGACUGACGAGGAGGAGAGCUAGCCGUGUUGCUUUGCUUCCUAGGUUUUGACAACCUUUAAAAAAUAGAGCUUCGGGAUGUUGGCCUAUUAAGCCUCUUGAAGACGGAGGUUCGGUUUUGACCACCAAUGUGAUCAAGGGCUGACGUUCUGGGUCUUGAACGAUUCAUCCUAUCGAAGAUUGGCGUUUGAGGGGCGGAUUUAGGCUCCUCUCGAUCUUGUUCAAUGCUCACGCUAAUGUGUUGAGUGCUAGCAUUUUUCGCUUUGCUCGAAAUCUUCACGGGUGCAUUUGGUGUGAAGCCAAGUCCAGCUUUGUUGUUGUUAACUCCGUAACCAUGCUUCUUCAACUUCUUUUAAGUCUCAGUGAGGUCACGUUCUUUAUUGUUGACGGUGUUUGAAACCUUCUUUCCAGGAUUCGAAGAAGAAGCGAAGUCGUACCCAGCUUUUGACAUGAGUUUGUAGGCGUUUGGAUCAAAACUUUCUUCGGUCCUCUUGGUUGGGAGAAAGCUUGGUUCCACCCCCUUUGGUAGAGCUUUUACGAAGCCUUAUGGUAAUCUAGCAACCUUAGCGUUGCUUAGCUGUGUCAGAGGUAAAACUGCAUCCGUCUUGAGCAACUUUACAUUAUCCAUGUACCGUUGUGCAUCGGCUUUGCUUGCUUAAGUUUCGAAUGGGGAUUGACCAUUCUUUCUUCUUGACAUCGGGAUGUAUCGGAAAACGGGUGUGUUUAGUCUAUUUGAGGGCGUCCUAUUCCCUUUGAUUGUUGCAGGUUUAGCAAGCUCAUCAUCGUUCUUGCUUGAAGACGACAUGGCUUCUUCUUCUUGCUUCUUGGGCAUGGCUUGCCACUCCUGCUUUUUAGGUGUUGCUUUGCCUGUGGAUUUGAUCUCUUUUGGAAGAGCUUCGGGCACCAUGUCUUCAUCCAUGUAGAAUUUGGCAUCUGCGAAAUGUGAUUCGGCUUCGAUGAAUGGUUUGGUGUCGCCAUAGAUCACCUUCACUCCUUCUCGAUAGAAUUUUAAGCAUUGGUGAAGGGUGGACAGUACUACUCCAUUUGCAUGGAUCCAAGGCCUUCCUAAGAGCAAGCCGUAGGAAGUUCUUGCAUCAAUCACAUGGAAUAUCGUGCUUGACUUGAGUUCACCAAUAGUCAUCUCCACUCGGAUCAUGCCCAUCGCUUUUUAUCCUCCUUGAUUAAAACCUUGGAUUAGUAGACGACUUAGGGACAGUUCAUCCGCCUUGAUGCCGAUUGUAGUCAUUGUUGACUUUGGCAUGAUGUUUAUGGCUGAUCCGCCAUCCACAAGCAUGUGGUUGACUUUGUGCUUCCUUACGUACCCAUAGACGAAGAGAGGACGGUUGUGAGGCUUGGAUCCUAGCAGCAAGUCUUCGUCGGUGAAAUGGAUUGCGUCAUCGAUGGCACAGCAUGUGGCACAUUCAUGUGGCCGAAGCUUGAAACCUUCGUUCUUGCUUUCUUGCACUUCGUGGUCAUUGGGACUUUCCAAGACUGCUGCUAAUGCUAUUCGCAUCUUCUUUGGUAAUCGUAGCGCUUCCUCAAUGCUAAAGUGUGUUGGCAGACAUUCUUCGAGCGCGAGAGUUUUUUCUCCCUCAGUGGUGAUAUCUUUGCCUUUUGAAGGUUCUUCUAUUUCUACUUCGACCAUAUGACAUGCAACGAUAGUGCACUGUUGGAAGAAGUCAUUCGGGAAGUACUCGUGCAAUGAGACAGGAAUGCGUAGCUCUUGCUCCAUAGGUUCCCCGGCAUACGUUGGCUUAUCAACUUUUACGUUUCUUUUGGGCUUCCUACUGUUGCGGCGACGGUGCUUUCUCACUUGUUCCACCUUUUGUCUUAUGGCUUGUGGUUUUGGUUUCCUUGUUUUUUUGUAGGUCACCAAUGUCCAUCCUUCUUCAUCAUCGGUAUGUGUAUCUUGUUCGUUUGCCCCCGACGAUGGUUGCGCAGAAGGUAUCGUGUAACUUGAGCAUUGAUAGGAAUGGUCAGGUGCUGCUUGGAGAGGCACGGGAUCGAAAGAUCCAAAUGCAAUUGUAGUAAUAUGUGUUGCGGCCGUGUCUUCGAGGUCAAGCUCGAUUCGCCCUUGUUGUGCUAGCUUCAUGAUAAGCUCUUUGAGGACGAAGCAUUUACCCACAGGAUGGCUCACGAUUCGAUGGUACUUGCAGUAUUUAGGAUCGUUUAUGCGAUUCAUUUCUUCAGGCUGCUUGCAUUCAGGUAGCUCGAUUACCUUCUUUUCUAGCAAGUCGUUUAACAUUGCAUCCAUGUUUGAGUCAGGAAAAGGGUAUACCUUCUGCUCCAAUUCCCUCAAGGUGCUUUUGUACCUUUCUUGGGUGCGAGGAGGCUCACUUUUCUUUAUCUCAUUUGCUUUGGUUUUGGAGGAGAUCUUGAUAGGUGCGGAGGUGGUCUUGACAGGCGCAGUGCUGACGGUGAACGCUUCCUUAGGGCGCUUCUUCCCAGUCUUGUCUACAUUUGGGAAGAACACCUUAUCCUUUUUAAAGUCAGUGAUCGGCUCUUUCUUCCCGUGAUAGGCAAUACUUAGCUCCAUGUCGUGGGCACGGGUGGCUAACUCUUCAAAUGUCCGUGGUUUGAUGCCUUGAAGGAUAUAGUGUAACCCCCAUUGCAUGCCUUGGACGCACAUCUCGAUCGAAGAGAUCUCCGAGAGCUUGUCCUUGCAGUCGAGGCUCAGAUUGCGCCAUUAGUUGAUGUAGUCCACGACUGGCUCAUCCUUCCAUUGCUUCGUGCUUGUCAGCUCUAGCAUGCUCAUGGUGCGGCUGGUGCUGUAGAAGCGGUUGAGGCAUUCCUUUUCCAAUUGCUCCUAACUGUUGAUGGAUUCAGGCUCUAGGUCCGUGUACCACUCAAAGGCAUUUCCUUUCAGCGAGCGUACAAACUGCUUAGCGAGGUAAUCUCCUUUUGUCCCUGCGUUGUUGCAAGUCUCAAUGAAAUGGGCUACAUGUUGCUUCGAGUUUCCUUUUCCAUCGAACUGCAUGAACUUUAGUGGCUGUUAACCUCUUGGCAUCUUCAAAGCGUCAAUUUUCUUGGAGUAGGGUUUUGAGUAUAGUACAGAGUCAUGUGAACUUCCUUCGUACUGUGCCUUAAUGGUGCUGACGAUCAUCUAUUGCAGCUGUUGGAUAGAAAGAGAUCCCGUGAGUGCCGCUGCUUGGCCUGGUUCCGGCUUCACAUUGAUUUUCUCCACCGGAGGCUCUUCAUCCUCGUCGUUUUCCUUCUUUACUGAAUCAUCCCCUUGCUCGAUUUUCAUGUCGGGCUUUACAUCUAGUUGGUUAACGAGUGCGGCGAUUUGCUGGUCUUUUUCUUCCACAAUCCGUGUCAGCCUUGUGAUCGCUUUAUUCAUAUGAGCCAGCUGCUCAUCUAUUGAAGUAGCUCCAAUAGUCAUAACUUGCAUGGCUGAGCUGCCGCUUGAGUCGACAUUGGAAAGAGUGGAACCAGAGUACUUCUUUGGGCUUUCCUUCAUUGGCGCCCUUAGCGAGGCCAGGGUGAUCACAGGUUCGUGCCUCGGGUGCUCUUGUUCAUUUGGCGGAGUUGAUGUAGGGGUAGAAGAGGCGGCAGAAAGAGCUCUUGCCUUGCUUCGAGUUAUGAUGCCCGAAGUGACACCGCCUGCGGUGAUGACGCUCUUGUUCCUUGCAUUGGCUGCGAGAACAACUUGAGCCUUCUUUGAUGCCAUUUGUGCUUUUUGUGGAUUCAAAGACAGAGAUGAGAGGUAGAGAUGGUCCCACCGGGCGUGCCAAAUUUGUAAACACGGAAAUUCCUGCGAUGAACGAGACAAGAAACACGUGUACAAAAUAAUAUUUGUAUUGAUGAUUUAGGGGUUACAAUCUCUUCUACAAAUUUAGCCUCUGAUUCUAUCUUUGUAAUGGGUGGAUUUGAUGUUCUUGAUCCAAAGGGUCGUCGGGGCUUGAUCUUGGGAUAAACAGUUGUGCGGAUUUGUUGACGUCGUUUAUCCAAAGGGCCGUCGGGGCUUGAUCUAGGGAUGAACGAAUGAUGAAUGAUGAACGUUUUCUUCAAGGGCUGUGGGGGGUGGCUUGAUCUUGAAUUAGUGGAAGUUCUUCAAGGAUCGUUGGGGCUUGCUUUUGAAUGAGGAUUUGACGAAGAAUGAAGAGAGCUUUCUUGAUCCUUCGGGGUUUGCUUGAGAGCUUUGGAGUUUCAAAGCUUCAAGGUUGUGGUGUGAGGUGAAUUGGUUAUGAAUUCGUGUGCCAAAAUGAAUGCCUUGGCCUCCUAUUUAUAGAAUUCCAAAACUUGAUUUUUUUGGAUUUAAAUAAUUAGAUGAAAUAAAUCAUUUCUGCCAGGUGUUGACACGUGUCCUGUUUGAUGACUUUUCCGAUUUAUUUUGAUUUUUCGUUUAGUCACAUGCUAUGUGUAAAAUUUAUGUGACACAUAAACAUUGAAAUUUUAAUUAUUGAUUAACAUUUAUUUUACCGAAAUUUCAAUGUCUACAGUGUUCCACGGAUGUGGACGAGUUGUUCCAGAUGGGUGAGGCGGAACGAAAAUUCACCCAAAAUUCGUCUCGUGGAACAACACAUUCCACCUAUUUUAGGCGCACCAAACGUGAGACGAAACGCCUCGUCCCAGUCUGUUCUGUCCCGUCCCAUGUACCAAAUGGUACCUAUGUUCUUUAUGGCGAGAUGCGAUGAGUUUUAUGGCUACACGGUUUCAAAAUUUGUGGUGGCAGUCAAAGUUUAGAGUUAUAGGUUAAAUUAUGGUUGGGUUAUUUUGAGUUGUAUGUAGGGAUGGGCAAAUACCCAUCGAUUAUGGGUAACCGCGGUUAUCCAACCAUUUAAAUUUUGCGGUUACGGAUAACCGUUUAGAUAAUUAAAUGGGUAUGGGUAUAACCGUUUACCCGUAAAAUUUAAAUGGGCGAUUAUGGGCAUUAACCGCGGUUAUAACGGUUACCCGUUUAUGAAUAAUCAGUAAUUUUGAUUUUCAAUUAAAAUUAGGGAAGUCGUGGAAGAAGUCUGAAUUCAUAUUUUUAGAUGUUCUAACUAUUUCUAACAAAUGGGUUUCUUUUCUUUCUCCUAAUAGUAUUGUCCUGUUUUUUUUUACAUGUUUUGUAUACACUUAUGUAGUCGUGGAAGUUAGUCCUUUAUAUCUUAGAAAAGUUUGAAUUCAUGUUCUGCUUGUAAAACUAGGUUGUUAUUUGUAAAACUAGUUUGAAUUCACAAUGGAUACAAAUGUUCUGCUUGAUAUUUUAGAAUUAAGCAUCACAUAUUUCUAUAUUUUUACAUUUUUAGAACUUUGAAGUCUGAAUUCAUGUUUUGGGUGCUGCAAAUUGAUAUUUUAGAAUUAUUGGAGUUGUAUACGCUUACGGUUAAAAAAAAAUGUAAAUAAGUGCAAAAAAGGAUAAAUGGGUUAAAAAUUGGAUAAACGGGUAAACGGGGUAUGGAUAAACGGGUAUACGGUUACGUUGCCCCACGACCUGCACUGCACCUAUUUCGUUGGGAAAACGUUAAAAAUUUAUUUAUUUAUUUUCCUUUUGAGCGGCUUUGAUGACAAAGUCAAAAGCAAUGGUGCAGUCCAUAGUGGAAGACUUCUUCUUCUUCAUUAUAGACACAAGUCCAAACUUUUCCGUCAACCUAGCCGCGGCAUUGAGAGCCAACACCCAAAUGCUCAGUUCACUGCCACGAUUGGAACUUCUCAAGGCACUUGAACUCAAGAUCACCUCUACAUUAGUUUUUCUUUAAUUUACUCAAUCGUAAGACUAGAAAAAUGGAGAAAUGUAGAGCAGAAAAAAAAAAUUGGAUGAGUGCAGAGGAGAAAAAUGAUGGGCCAAAAAACUUGCCUUUUUCUAUUGCUUAAAGAAACAAAGUGGAAUGGGGUGUUCAAAUUAUAAAAUUAAGGAGUGAAAGAUGUCCUUAAACCAAUCCAGCAAAUAAACUUAAUAUUGUGUUCACAUGUGAUUGAAAUGAUAAAUAUAGUAGAAACUUAAACCAAUCCAACAAGGCUUGAGAAGCUUAAUUUAAUAUUCAAGUUAAUAUUGUGUUCAACGUGUGAUUGAAAUGAUUAAUAUAAUGGAAAGCACCUAUGAAGACUUUUCCUAGAACACAAACAAUCGGAUCUCUCCAAGCCUUAGAGAGAAAUGCACCUCACGUCUUAUUUUAUAUUAUCCUUUUCUUUGUAAGCUAUGUCAUAUAAAAGACUUCAUCCUACAUACAGCAGUCUAGAUUGACUAUAGUCAAAAUCCCAAUAAUGUACGCGUGUUUGGUUACAUUUCAGCAUUUCGUAGAAGCUUGUACCACUAAACAUCCCAUUCCAUCUUAAAUGCUUAUAUAUAAUCCACUGUCUUCCAUCACUUCCACAAACAAACUCCCUCCACUUUCAAGCUUUCAUCCCACAAAAGAAACCAACAAAAUCUAGCAGAUAACUAACAUGGCUUGGAAAAAUAGUGAUGCGGAAUCUUUGCAAUCUGCUGAUGAGCUGAAACGCCAGAAGAGAAUCAAAUUGACUAUAUACAUUGGUAUUUUCAUUGUGUUUCAGAUCAUCAUCAUAACCUCGAUGAGUCUCACUGUGAUGAAAGUCAAGACCCCGAAGGUAAGGCUAGGCAACAUCAGCGUCCAAGACCUCAACUCUGUCCAGGCAACACCUUCAUUCGACACAAAAUUCAAAACCCAAAUCAGAGUUAAGAACACAAAUUUUGGUCCAUACAAGUU